rnacentral:lncRNA from 1 species
GCGGAGUCCUGGUCUGGGCAGGCCUUGCAGGCUCUGCCGGCCACGGUGCUGGGCGCGCUGGGCAGCGAGUUCUUGCGGGAGUGGGAGGCGCAGGACAUGCGCGUGACCCUCUUCAAGCUGCUGCUGCUGUGGUUGGUGUUAAGUCUCCUGGGCAUCCAGCUGGCGUGGGGGUUCUACGGGAAUACAGUGACCGGGUUGUAUCACCGUCCAGGUCUGGGUGGUCAGAAUGGAUCCACGCCUGAUGGCUCCACGCAUUUCCCUUCGGAAAUGGCAGCAAACGAACCUCUCAAAACCCACAGAGAAUAAGGGAAGGCAGCAGAGGGUCUCCAAGGGCAUCACUGGGUCUGCUGGCUUCUACACUGGGUUCUGCUACUCCCCAGACCUCAGGGACAACUGCCGGGGGUUCAGGGUUGGUAGCAGGGAGUACCCAGUGCCUACAGGGCUGGGCCUCUUCUGCCUCUUAAGCCUGCUCCCUCACCCAGGCACUGGGCAAGUGAAGAGUUUGCCUGUACUCUUAUCUGGGUGCCUUAAGGAGAGAGAUUGUGUUCUUCCUCUCUCAGGGGUGAUAACUCAGGAAGCCUCUGGGUUGGGAAGACCAUCAGUUCUUUUGUCUUAGGUUUCUUUUCCUGUCCCUCUUCCAUCCCCAAGAUGUGACCCCAUAAAAAUUUUUCCUGAGUUGGCCAGGCAUGGUGGCUCACGCCUGUAAUCCCAACACUUUGGGAGGCUGAGGCAGGCAGAUCACGAGGUCAGGAGUUCGAGACCAGCCUGACCAACAUGGUGAAAACCCCAUCUCUACU